AGGUUCAUAGAUAGGGGUUAGGUUAUCUCAUAACUAUGUGGGCGGAAGCGAGAGGGAGGGGAAUGCCUACGUCACUCGUACGACAAAGUCAAGUUUGACAGUUGUAUGUGGUUAUAUUUCCGCAUAUUUUUGUGGAAUUUUCUUAUAAUAUCGUUUAUUUGUUUAAUAUUUGUUGAGUUUUUAAGCAUAUAAGGACUAUAUUACUAUAAUUACUUAUUUGGGUCCUAUACAAAGGCAGUAAUGACUUGUGAAGUGUGUUUUCGUAACCGUGUAAGAUGAGUGGUGGUAACAUUUGUAGCAUAGCUAUAUGUAAAAGCAACUCCAAAAUUCCUGAACCAGAUGGAAACAAAAUAAUGUUUUUGGACAUUUCCCAAAUACCUUAAAUUAUCAAACAAUAAUGGAUAAUAAAAUGUUACAAUAUAAAUGGGCCUCUAAACAUAAGAAAAUAGGUAGCAAACAUUUCCUCGUGUCUGAAUAUGUUAAUAUUAUGUUACGUCUUUUUUAUAUUUUAACCUAAUAAUAAAUUAUUUAUAUUA